rnacentral:rRNA from 1 species
UUUCGGAGUGUAAACCCUUUCGACCGGAAGAAGGCCGCAAGGGUUUGACGGUACGGGUAUAAGAAGCCCCGGCUAACUACGUGC